AUGGGCAUGCGGCGCAUUAGCUAGUCGGCGGGGUAACGGCCCACCGAGGCGACGAUGCGUAGGGGUUCUGAGAGGAAGGUCCCCCACACUGGUACUGAGACACGGACCAGACUCCUACGGGAGGCAGCAGUGAGGAAUAUUGGUCAAUGGGCGCGAGCCUGAACCAGCCAAGUCGCGUGAGGGAUGACGGUCCUACGGAUUGUAAACCUCUUUUGCCGGGGAGCAAGCGUGCGUUCGUGAACGCGCGUCGAGAGUACCGGGAGAAAAAGCAUCGGCUAACUCCGUGCCAGCAGCCGCGGUAAUACGGAGGAUGCGAGCGUUAUCCGGAUUUAUUGGGUUUAAAGGGUGCGUAGGCGGGAUGCCAAGUCAGCGGUAAAAAUGCGGUGCUCAACGCCGUCGAGCCGUUGAAACUGGCGUUCUUGAGUGGGCGAGAAGUAUGCGGAAUGCGUGGUGUAGCGGUGAAAUGCAUAGAUAUCACGCAGAACUCCGAUUGCGAAGGCAGCAUACCGGCGCCCUACUGACGCUGAGGCACGAAAGCGUGGGUAUCGAACAGGAUUAGAUACCCUGGUAGUCCACGCAG
rnacentral:rRNA from 1 species